rnacentral:rRNA from 1 species
AUUGAACGCUGGCGGCAUGCUUUACACAUGCAAGUCGAACGGUAACAGGGAGCUUGCUCCGCUGACGAGUGGCGAACGGGUGAGUAAUGCGUCGGAACGUGCCGAGUAGUGGGGGAUAACGCAGCGAAAGUUGUGCUAAUACCGCAUACGUACUGAGGUAGAAAGUGGGGGACCUUCGGGCCUCACGCUAUUCGAGCGGCCGACGUCUGAUUAGCUAGUAGGUGAGGUAAGGCUCACCUAGGCGACGAUCAGUAGCGGGUCUGAGAGGAUGAUCCGCCACACUGGGACUGAGACACGGCCCAGACUCCUACGGGAGGCAGCAGUGGGGAAUUUUGGACAAUGGGCGAAAGCCUGAUUCAGCCAUGCCGCGUGUCUGAAGAAGGCCUUCGGGUUGUAAAGGACUUUUGUCGGGGAGGAAAUCCCCAGCGCUAAUACCGCUGGGGGAUGACAGUACCUGAAGAAUAAGCACCGGCUAACUACGUGCCAGCCGCCGCGGUAAAAC